AUUGAACGCUGGCGGCAUGCUUUACACAUGCAAGUCGAACGGUAACAGGCCGCAAGGUGCUGACGAGUGGCGAACGGGUGAGUAAUGCAUCGGAACGUGCCCAGUCGUGGGGGAUAACUACUCGAAAGAGUAGCUAAUACCGCAUACGAUCUAUGGAUGAAAGCGGGGGACCGUAGGGCCUCGCGCGAUUGGAGCGGCCGAUGUCAGAUUAGGUAGUUGGUGGGGUAAAGGCUCACCAAGCCAACGAUCUGUAGCUGGUCUGAGAGGACGACCAGCCACACCGGGACUGAGACACGGCCCAGACUCCUACGGGAGGCAGCAGUGGGGAAUUUUGGACAAAGGGCGCAAGCCUGAUCCAGCAAUGCCGCGUGCAGGAAGAAGGCCUUCGGGUUGUAAACUGCUUUUGUACGGAACGAAACGGCUCUGGUUAAUACCCGGGGCUAAUGACGGUACCGUAAGAAUAAGCACCGGCUAACUACGUG
rnacentral:rRNA from 1 species